AACGAACGCUGGCGGCGCGCCUAAUACAUGCAAGUCGAGCGAGAAGACGUAGCAAUACGUUUGUAAAGCGGCGAACGGGUGAGGAAUACAUGGGUAACCUACCCUCGAGUGGGGAAUAACUAGCCGAAAGGUUAGCUAAUACCGCGUACGCUCCUUGGACUUCGGUUCAGGGAGGAAAGCGAUACCGUGGGUAUCGCGCUCUUGGAUGGGCCCAUGCCCUAUCAGCUUGUUGGUGAGGUAACGGCUCACCAAGGCUUCGACGGGUAGCUGGUCUGAGAGGACGAUCAGCCACACUGGCACUGCGACACGGGCCAGACUCCUACGGGAGGCAGCAGUAAGGAAUAUUGCGCAAUGGGCGAAAGCCUGACGCAGCGACGCCGCGUGGGGGAUGAAGGUCUUCGGGUCGUAAACUCCUGUCGAGCGGGACGAACGGCCCGCGGGUGAACAAUCCGCGGGAGUGACGGUACCGCGAGAGGAAGCCCCGGCUAACUCCGUGCCAGCCGCCGCAGUAAUAC
rnacentral:rRNA from 1 species